rnacentral:rRNA from 1 species
UACGUAGGGACCAAGCGUUGUUCGGAUUUACUGGGCGUAAAGGGCGCGUAGGCGGCCUUCUAAGUCAGACGUGAAAUCCCCCGGCUUAACCUGGGAACUGCGUCUGAUACUGGAAGGCUUGAGUGCGGGAGAGGGAUGUGGAAUUCCAGGUGUAGCGGUGAAAUGCGUAGAUAUCUGGAGGAACACCGGUGGCGAAGGCGGCAUCCUGGACCGACACUGACGCUGAGGCGCGAAAGCUAGGGUAGCAAACGGG